ensembl:lncRNA
CUGAACUCUGUCCAUGUAGCACCUCUUGUCACUCAAGGCUCCUGAACUCUGUCCAUGCUGAACCAUUUCAAACACAACUCAUGCAAAGACAAUACUUUGGAAUUGUUUACGAUUUUAUUUCCAAUAUUCUGUCACGUAUCGUAUAUCCCCACUCAUAGUGACGUUUUUGGGGUCAAGUUAUAAACUGUAAAUUGGCAUUAGGUCAAAUAGUGUCUGAUAACAUGACUUAGAGGAAGAUAAUGGAUCACAAAACAUAGAUGGAUGGCAUUUGAAUGGUGCAAACCUGAGGACAUCCCUGAGCAACCAUGCUUGUCAGCUUAUGCAUACCAUCCAAUUUCUAUUUGGCAGAUCACCUGAAGAUAUUGCAAGGCAUUGAUGUAGAACUUGAAAGAACAGAUAACAUGAUGAUAGGAACGCUUUCAUUAGCAUUAGAGACACUUCUGUCGAGUUUCCAUCUAAGAUAUACCCUGGUGGGGGUUUUUUCUUCAAAAUAUGGUAUGUCUGCCUGUGGUCCUGUUCCAGCCUGCAUCAUUUGUCACCCUGGCGGGCCGCUCUGUGAGCCCCUAUAUGAACUUCCUCGCCCCUAUACCCCUCCACCCGUCCCACGGGUUUCAUUCAAUGGGAUGGGCGCACACAGGAGUAAACAAACACAGACAUUAGCACACAGAGAAACAGAGAGGUCGGCGACUUUCGCCAGCCGUCUGAGGAGAGGAUUAGGUGUCUGAUGAGAGUUUCUGCUGACAGACUGUGUGACGACGCUCAGAUCCAUUGAUACCCACUGUCUCUCACAUCUUCCAUCGCACCCAAACACAUCAACACAGUCAUAUCAUACCAUAUCAAACCACAGAGGAUUUGACCUCCUGACAGAUACACCUCAACAUAAUAUAAGACAGCAUUUCCCAAACGCUGUCCUGGGGAACCCAAAGGGUCCACGUUUUGGUAGUUUCCCCCUAGCACUCCACAGCUGAUUCAAAGCUUGAUGAUUAGUUCAUUAUUUGAAUCAGCUGUGUAGUGCUAGUUCAUCAACCAAAACGUGCACUCCUUCGGGUACAGAGGACCAAGUUCGGAAAACCCGUGGCUAGUACUUUUCAGACCGCGCUCGUAGAAAAUGUGUCCAACUAGCCUGGCCGGUUAGUGCCGUUUUGGACCAGGGCUAGUAAAAAUUGCAGUCUACUAGCCCUGCUGCCCAGUGCCUAAAAUCGUUAAAUAAUCCAGUGAGUCUGGGUCUUCCAACGCUCAGACAUAUCUCAGCAUCUCACCAUUGUCAGCUAUACAAAUUAUUGUACAAAUGAUGGUACAAAUUAUUUUACCGAAAAGGGGCCUUUUGAAUUAUGAUCUGAUGGCCACAGAACUUACUGUGGUGGAAUGAAUAAGAGAGGCAUAAUGUUAAAUGAGAAUAUGUGCUAUCAUUUAGGAGCACGGAGAGAGCAGGUGUACGACAGUUCUGCAGGUGCAGACAGGUGUAGAUGCAGGUGCUUAACAGCCAGUGAAGCCUGGAUGAACAGGACAGGUAUUCCAUUCCACUGAGACUGUAUGUGUAUCUCUAAGUCAGUGGCAUGCAGCACUGAUGAAGGAAAUAUUAUGGUUUCCAGACGUGUGGGGAAUACAUUGGCAUCAUCUCUUAUAUGAAGGAAAGCUAGCCUCCCUCCAUUACACCUGCCAUGGUUUAUACAGAUGCUGAGUGCAGUGGGGGCUCUGCUUUGUGAAACAGUCUUGAAGUGACACACAACGAGAUGAGCUUAAGGUUGAUGAUACAUUACAUCACAUCUCAAACCCGCCGAUCAAGCCUCAGAGUCAGGAAGGGGGAACACGCAGGCCCUGUGUGGGUUAAACCAAACAAAGUGUAGGAGUAAAACCCAUACCCACUGUAGGCCACACUGCCAGGUAUAUAUAUAUAUAUAUAUUUCUUUUUACACACACACACACACACACACACACACACACACACACACACACACACACACACACACACACACACACACACACACACACACACACACACACACACGCAACCCCUCUCAACCACUACUGGGCUCUUAGGUCCAGUAGAUAGAGACGGGGGUCGGUGUACAUAAGACCUGUAGAUUCCAUUGACCUUUCACCUUUUACAUUUCUCAGACAAACUGUCAAACUGUAAGCUUUUGUCUCUUUCUCUCUCUGAGACAGUGAUGGAUAUUUGGGGUAAAGGAAACAGAGACAAUCAGUGGCUGGCAUUUUAUUGGUAGCCAGCUUUCUGUGGUCAUGUCCGUUGCUGAAACAGAAGAUUUUAUCAGAUCGCAAGUCAAGAUUGGACAUUUUCGGUGCACUCAGGUGUCAACUGUUGGAGCUGACAGGAGUUUAUGAACGGUGAGGGAUCUGAGAACAAGCCCCCACAAGCCCCCAGAGAUAGUAAGAACAGGUCGCCUCAAGGCUGUUCUGUUGGCACACCGACACCCCUAUAACCUGCUUGUACACACACCUACACAGGUGCACAAGAACACAAGUGCACACAAGUACAGAAAAAAAUGGCUAAUUCUAAUGCAAUUGAUUUAGUAUUUGACUGAAAUAUAUGAUUGACAGCACAGGAGGCAGUUUAAGAAAACAGUUUAACCAGUUUAGACUGACAUAAAAACAAAAGUAUAGACUUCACACACAUGCUCAAGGGCUUUAAAAAUAAGACACCUGUACCAUGUUUGAUACAGAGUUGAAAUACAUUACAUUUUGAGUUUGCAUCCCAAUAUUACACUUUAUAUACGUCACAGAAGACGGAAAUCUAACAAAAACAACAGAUUUUCUGCAAAAUAAAAAAGUGUAUUAAUUAUGAAAGAUAUUAACAUUCCACCCAUGAAACCGACACUAAGUCAAUUGACUGCAGGAAAGGGCUAUGGACUGAAUUCAAUCCAUAUCGCAGAUGUAUCGCACAACAUUUCCGUUGUAGCUCGAUUGCAUUCGUGGAGACUGAAUUCACUGUAAAUGUUGCCGGCUCAAUCGAAAAUGACCUUUACAUUUUGACACAGAUCUCCCGCGAUACGGAUUGAAUCAAGACCUAAGUCGUUUACAGGAUCCCUUCCAUUAAACUACACACUCCCCCUGAUCCUGUGUCUUUGUGGACAGUGAGAUAGGUGCUAUGCCUGCCUGCCUGCCCAUUUAUUCAUAUCGGUACCGGCGGUCUGAGGACAUGCCUGCCUUACGCCUGGGGCUGGGAACUAUUGCUCAACAGAAUGUGAUUAAAAUCAAUAAAUCUCCCACUACACCUGCUCCAUUGCUCACUGCAGACAUCCACACACCUGCCUGAUAAAAUGACUGUACUGCAGGGAGAGAGGGAGAGAUGGAGAUAAAUAUGUAGAGAGAGAGUGAGAGAAAUAGAGAGAGAGAGUUGUAAAGAGAGAGACGGAGAGAAACAAAGAGAGAGAAACAAAGAGAAACAGAUAGGGGUUUAGAAAGGGGAAAAGAGACUAGAUCAAUGAUAUAAAACUUGAUCCCCCAUCUUGAGCAAAAGGUUUAAAAUACACAAGAACAAAGUCAUAUCAAUCAGUAAAAAAACGGUUGUCAGCUAGAUGGGGGCGUGUGGAGUCGGGUGGCAAACAGAGAGUGAACAUGUUGGUUGAUGUCGGGGUGCCCAGCAGUGUGACCUGGGGCAAAGUUGUACUCUCAGUAAGUGAGGAGAUUAGGGGAACCGGCGCGUGUUAUAGGUUAUGGCGCGUGCUACGGUGAAUUAGGGAGGAGGCGGCAGGCAGCAGGUGCACUGUUGACACAAUAAACAUACACACGGACAAAGCCAAACUCUAAAUUAGUCAUCCAGCUCGCAGCACAGGGAGGAGAGGGAGAGGGCCAGGGGAAUGACACAGUUGCAUUUGUUUCAUAAGGCAUGCCACAGGAGGAGGUGGCCUUUGGUGCCGCUGCCUGCCUGCCUGCCUUCCCUCUCUUUGUCUUGCCAUCUCAGCUGUUCAUCCCUCUGACAGCCCGCUUAGACGUUAAACAUGUCAAUAAAGCACUGUUAGAGAGAAAAGGACAGAGAGGAACAGGGAGAGGAAAUAGGAUGAGAUGAAGAGCGAUAAGAAAUGACAGAGAAAGAGAGAGUCAAGCAGCUAGUUCGACAUGGCAGCCGACAGUACAGCCGACAGUACGAGCGACAGUACAGCUGACAGUACGAGCGACAGUACAGCCGACAGUACAGCCGACAGUACAGCCGACAGUACAGCCGACAGUACAGCGACAGUACAGCGACAGUACGACAGUACAGCCGACAGUACAGCCGACAGUACAGCCGACAGUACAGCCCGACAUACGAGCGACAGUACAGCCGACAGUACGAGCGACAGUACAGCCGACAGUACAGCCGACAGUACGAGCGACAGUACGAGCGACAGUACGAGCGAUUGCCGACCGACUGAUCUACAAAGAACCUUGCAUCAUAAACAACGAAUCAUCAUUAUUUGUUGAUCAGUCAGUCACAAUUUACCCAUUAACUGUAGACCUACAGGUACAUUGUGUCCCUACUUUGGAUUCAUCGGUCUUGUUUUGGAUAACAACAUCCUAAUCCCCAUCACCGUCACAACCAGACAGGACCCUGGUCGUGAACCCACUCCCUGCGGGUGUCUCAGUGGGAGUUGGGAUAUGGUGACCCUGGCCGUGACCCCAGUCCCUGCGGGUGUCUCAGUGGGAGUUGGGAUAUGGUGACCCUGGCCGUGACCCCAGUCCCUGCGGGUGUCUCAGUGGGAGUUGGGAUAUGGUGACCCUGGCCGUGACCCCAGUCCCUGCGGGUGUCUCAGUGGGAGUUGGGAUAUGCAGAAACACAUUUCCAUUGGACACUUGUACAAGUGUGUAACAGGACAAAUGUAAGCAAAUUAUGACUGUUAUUUAAGACACGAUUGUAAUAUUCAUAUGUGUAAACAUACUGAAUUGUAAUUGGAUGCAUUUUACCGCCAUAUCAUACUGUGCUAUGAUUGGUUAAGACCACCCAAAUGGUUAGGGGAUCGGCAGUUUGAUCCUGGUUGGCGAUACGUGAACAUGCCAGUUAUAGCUAAUAAAGAGCUACGUUAAGACAUAUCCUGUAGUACUGCAUUGUAUUAUUUUGUACAAAGUGUGCAAAACAAGACAACGGUCAUGUCAAAUACUCGGAGUCUUUGUCCAACCAACUACGGUUGUGACGUGCCACAGAGGUUCAGCUAGGCUGGUCAUGGCUAGGAAGGGAGGGCUAUGAGGGAUGUGUGGAGGACAGAUGGGACAAACGGACUAAUAUGAAAAAAAAAGUCUGGUUUCUUAAUACACACACACACACACACACAGAAUGAAGGUCAUUCUGAAGAAGACAGGUUGUAUCAGAGAGCAGCCCUCAUGCCAAACCUGAGGGUCCAACUCCAUCCACCCACCAUGCUGUUUACUAAAACAGAGCUGACCUAUGAGGCUUGUUUGGUAAACAGAGAGAGCAGCACACAGUUCUGUUCCUGUCACCCUGCUCCGGAACACAGGCCACCCGUGCCACCAUCCUUCUCCUCCUUCUCUGCCCCGAGGCGUGCUGUUGUGGAAACAGGGCCCCCAGCAGCCAGCCACGUGUCACACAGGGAAGGACAUCCACACGUCCUUGGUUUGUUGUUAACUCCAUCGCUCCAACUGCACAACAUUGUUCUGUUCUCUAACUACUCUCUAUCCAAUAGAAAAUUAAACAAUCUGCAGAUUGUCUCUUUUAAAGAAUACUGUCAAAAAGUUUAUAUUUAAAAAAAAAUAAAAAAAUAAAAAAGUGUUUUCUAAAACCAAAUGACCCCUCCAAAACUACAGAGAUGUUUCAGGCACCAAGGUGAGAGUAUAUUUAUCUUUAAAUCAAUAAUAACACAGAUAGAAAUCUUGACUACUACUAUUAUUAGAGGACGUUAAAUCAUUUAAAAUAUCUCAUUAAUGGUAAAUAUCUAAUCAACUCCCUAUCAUUGAAGCUGUUUGUUCAGACACUUGCCUAUUUCGGUCAUCUCAAAUAAAUACCUUUGUCACAAAUAAAAUCUAUAUGAAUUCAAAGUAAUAUCCGUAGAUAUCCACCAGACUGGGGAAGAGAGGAUCCAAAAAUGGUCAGGAUUAUCUCCAUCCUUGUAAGUAGACAUCAAGGUUAAUAAUUCCAGGAAAUAUAUCUGGAAAGUAGUAAAGAUAAUCUUCUGUUAAAGUUCCUUGUUGGAUGUUCCCCUGUUAAAACCAUUGUGCUCUGAUGGACUGAGACAUGGC